rnacentral:lncRNA from 1 species
UGUAUAAACUUUAUUUUGCUCCUAAAGAAUAUUUUAUUUCAUUUCAUAUUUAAUUUCUGUGAUUUUAAGUAUGACGUUUAUACAACUGCUCUUCAUGAUCAUUGAGUAAAAAUAAGAUAGUUCAUGCUUAAGGAAGAUGCGAUGUGCUGCCACCUUAGAUUAGGGUAGACAUUUCAUGCUAACUAAAGAUGGAUUAUGCCUAAAUUACUUUUGUAAAAUUUUAUUCGAAUGCUUAUUAGGCUUGUAGCCAAUUUACAUGUUUAUCUAAGAAUAAAUUAAAAUACAAAUAACCCUUGUUCCGAUGUUAGUGGUGAAUUUUUAGUUUAAUUUUCUUCACAAACUCUUCCUUUUAAAUAUUUUUAUUUUUAAGAAAAUAACUGUACCCCAAUCCUUGUGGAUCGAUACCCGUAAUCACUAUCCUACCAGAUACGUGCUAUUGCGUGGUCUUUAA